GACGAACGCUGGCGGCGUGCUUAACACAUGCAAGUCGAGCGGUAAGGCCCUUUUGGGGGUACACGAGCGGCGAACGGGUGAGUAACACGUGGGUGACCUGCCUUCAGCUUCGGGAUAAGCUUGGGAAACUGGGUCUAAUACCGGAUAUGACUUGGCCUCGCAUGGGGUUGGGUGGAAAGUUUUUUCGGCUGGAGAUGGGCCCGCGGCCUAUCAGCUUGUUGGUGGGGUGAUGGCCUACCAAGGCGACGGCGGGUAGCCGGCCUGAGAGGGCGACCGGCCACACUGGGACUGAGAUACGGCCCAGACUCCUACGGGAGGCAGCAGUGGGGAAUCUUGCGCAAUGGGCGGAAGCCUGACGCAGCGACGCCGCGUGGGGAUGACGGCCU
rnacentral:rRNA from 1 species